AUUGAACGCUGGCGGCAGGCCUAACACAUGCAAGUCGAGCGAGUGGCGGACGGGUGAGUAAUGUAUGGGGACUGCCCGAUAGAGGGGGCUAACUACUGGAAACGGUGGCUAAUACCGCAUACUAACGGAUAACCCAUAGGGGAUUAGCUAGUAGGUGGGGUAAAGGCACAAGUAGGCGACGAUCUCUAGCUGGUCUGAGAGGAUGAUCAGCCACACUGGGACUCAGACACGGCCCAGAAUCCUACGGAGGCAGCAGUGGGGAAUAUUGCACAAUGGGCGCAAGCCUGAGCCAGCCAUGCCGCGUGAAUGAAGAAGGCCUUAGGGUUGUAAAAUACUUUCAGCGGGGAGGCGUUACCCGCAGAAGAAGCACCGGCUAACUCCGUGCCAGCAGCCGCGGUAAGAC
rnacentral:rRNA from 1 species